rnacentral:rRNA from 1 species
AACGAACCUUCGGGUUAGUGGCGGACGGGUGAGUAACGCGUGAGAAUCUGCCCUCAGGAGGGGGACAACAGUUGGAAACGACUGCUAAUACCCCAUAUGCCGCGAGGUGAAAUGAAUUUCGCCUGAGGAUGAGCUCGCGUCUGAUUAGCUAGUUGGUGUAGGUAAUGGCUCACCAAGGCAUCGAUCAGUAGCUGGUCUGAGAGGAUGAUCAGCCACACUGGGACUGAGACACGGCCCAGACUCCUACGGGAGGCAGCAGUGGGGAAUUUUCCGCAAUGGGCGAAAGCCUGACGGAGCAACGCCGCGUGAGGGAUGAAGGCCUCUGGGCUGUAAACCUCUUUUAUCAAGGAAGAAGAUCUGACGGUACUUGAUGAAUAAGCCACGGCUAAUUCCGUGCCAGCAGCCGCGGUAAUACGGGAGUGGCAAGCGUUAUCCGGAAUUAUUGGGCGUAAAGCGUCCGCAGGCGGCCCUUCAAGUCUGCUGUUAAAAAGUGGAGCUUAACUCCAUCAUGGCAGUGGAAACUGUUGGGCUUGAGUGUGGUAGGGGCAGAGGGAAUUCCCGGUGUAGCGGUGAAAUGCMGUAGAUAUCGGGAAGAACACCAGUGGCGAAGGCGCUCUGCUGGGCCAUCACUGACGCUCAUGGACGAAAGCCAGGGGAGCGAAAGGGAUUAGAUACCCCUGUAGUCCUGGCCGUAAACGAUGAACACUAGGUGUCGGGGGAAUCGACCCCCUCGGUGUCGUAGCCAACGCGUUAAGUGUUCCGCCUGGGGAGUACGCACGCAAGUGUGAAACUCAAAGGAAUUGACGGGGGCCCGCACAAGCGGUGGAGUAUGUGGUUUAAUUCGAUGCAACGCGAAGAACCUUACCAGGGUUUGACAUCCUGCGAAUCUCUUGGAAACGAGAGAGUGCCUUCGGGAACGCAGUACAGGUGGUGCAGGCUGGCGUCAGCUC